CCAGAGAUGCGACCCAAGUGUACUGUUAGCGAGUGCAUGUCUAAGUACAAGCCGUGUAUUACACGGCGAGACCGCGGACGGCUCAUUAAAUCAGUCGUGGUCCAUAUGGGCUAGAGUUAAUCCUACUUGGAUAACUGUGGUAAUUCCAGAGCUAAUACAUGCAACUCUUAUCCUGACGUAGCGCGGCUUAUCUCACGGUUUGUCGUAGCGCUGACGGAUGCUUUUAUUAGACCAAACCGCUGGGUGCGUGUUCGUGUUUAUUCGCGGAUGCGUACCACUCGUUUAAUGGUGACUCUGGAUAACCUUUUUGACAAGCGCACGUACUCCUCGUGGGACGGCGCUGCCACUUUCGAGUGUCUGCCUUAUCAGCUAUCAACCGUUUGUUACGUGCACACGAUGGCUUUGACGGGUAACGGGGAAUCAGAGUUCGAUUCCGGAGAGGCAGCCUGAGAGACGGCUACCACGUCCAAGGACGGCAGCAGGCACGCAAAUUACCCAAUCCCAGCAUCUGGGGGAGGUAGUGACGAAAUCUAACGAUGCGGGCGCCCUUUCUGGGGCCCCGCAAUCGGAAUGGCCACUUUCUAAACAACCUGUUGAGAACCUACUGAAGGGCAAGUCUGGUGCCAGCAGCCGCGGUAAUUCCAGCUUCAGUAGCAUCUAUUAAAGUUGCUGCGGUUAAAAGGCUCGCAGUUGAAUGUCAGUAUCGAGCGCAGGUCAGGUGGACGCUGGGGCGUGAACAUCCAAGGCGCUUCGCUUGUGUCGAUUGCGGAUGUGUGUGCGCGCUUUUUUUUCUUUCGGUGUGGCGUUGGGCCUUGGAUUGCACACUCCAAGUCCGCCGCUUAUGCUUAAAACUCUUCUUAGAGGGAUUCACGGUUCUGAAGCCGUAAGAGACUGAGAGCAAUAACAGGUCUGUGAUGCCCUUAGAUGUUCUGGGCCGCACGCGCGCUACAAUGCCGGGCACAGCAGGUACUUUUCCUACUCCGACAGGAGCGGGUAACCCUGUGAAAGCCCUAUGUCUUACAGUUUAACGGGUGUCGAGCUCGUCUCGAUGCUCUUCUGGCGUGAUUGGGCCUGGGUCUUGCAAUUUUUUCCCACUAACGAGGAAUGCCUUGUAGCGGCGGGUCACUGAGCCCGCCGUGACUCAGUCCCUGCCCUUUGUACACACCGCCCGUCGCUACUACCGAUUGGGUGUACCAGUGAGAGCCUUGGACUGGCGUCCGCUG
rnacentral:rRNA from 1 species